GACGAACCGUACGAACGUUAUUCGGAAUUACUGGGCUUAAAGGGUGCGUAGGCUGUGCGGAAAGUUGGGCGUGAAAUACCUCAGCUUAACUGAGGAACUGCGUUCAAAACUACCGUGCUCGAGGGAGACAGAGGUAAGCGGAACUGAGGGUGGAGCGGUGAAAUGCGUUGAUAUCCUCAGGAACACCGGUGGCGAAAGCGGCUUACUGGGGUCUCUUCUGACGCUGAUGCACGAAAGCUAGGGUAGCAAACGGG
rnacentral:rRNA from 1 species